AAUCAACGCUGGCGGCGUGCCUCAGACAUGCAAGUCGAACGCGAAAUUUCCCUUCGGGGAGAAAGUAGAGUGGCGCACGGGUGAGUAACACGUAGGUAAUUUGCCUUUGGGUGGGGAAUAACAGCCGGAAACGGCUGCUAAUACCGCAUAAUGCAGCGGCUCGACAUCGAGACAGUUGUUAAAGCGGGGGAUCUCGCAAGAGACCUCGCGCCUAAAGAGAAGCCUGCGGCAGAUUAGCUAGUUGGUAAGGUAAUGGCUUACCAAGGCGACGAUCUGUAACCGGCCUGAGAGGGCGGUCGGUCACACUGACACUGACAUACGGGUCAGACUCCUACGGGAGGCAGCAGUCGGGAAUUUUGGGCAAUGGGCGAAAGCCUGACCC
rnacentral:rRNA from 1 species